AUAGAGUCCUCGACGUCCAGGAGGAGGCCCCAGUGCAUGGUUGUAUAUCCUAGUUGUAAGUUCUUCUAGUUCUUCUAUGUGAGCCGCCACCACAGCACGGCAACUGACAGAUGGGUGUUGUGGUUCUGCGACUGGGAAACAAAUCUGGGCCACUGAAGCGACCGACAUGUGAAGCCUCAGGUGGUUCUGCCUCCCCCACUUCAUAACUCUGCUGCCUCUUUCUGCCUCCACCUGGGCUAUGACCACUUCCGGUACAGAAACAGCCAAGGAGGAAACAGGCUGGAGAACUGUGGCUUUCUGUCCUCAACUACGAUAUCAGAGCUGGGUUCCCUGGGAACUGUAAAUUUUCGUAAUGACUUUAGACAACUCUCCCC
rnacentral:lncRNA from 1 species